UACGUAGGGUGCGAGCGUUUGUCCGGAAUUAUUGGGCGUAAAGAGCUCGUAGGCGGUCUGUCGCGUCUGCUGUGAAAACCCGAGGCUCAACCUCGGGCCUGCAGUGGGUACGGGCAGACUAGAGUGCGGUAGGGGAGAAUGGAAUUCCUGGUGUAGCGGUGGAAUGCGCAGAUAUCGAGGAGGAACACCGAUGGCGAAGGCAGUUCUCUGGGCCGUAACUGACGCUGAGGAGCGAAAGCGUGGGGAGCGAACAGG
rnacentral:rRNA from 1 species